AGGUUUAAAACCUUAAUGCUGUCUAAAGGAAAAGUUCAGUUUAGUGUUUAAAACCCUAAUGCUGACUAAAGGAAAAGUUCAGUUUAGGGUUUAAAACACUAAUUUUGUCUAAAGAAAAAGUUCAGUUUAGGGUUUAAAACCCUAAUGCUGACUAAAGGAAAAGUUCAGUUUAGGGUUUAAAACCCUAAUGCUGACUAAAGGAAAGAGUUCAGUUUAGGGUUUAAAACCCUAAUGCUGACUAAAGGAAAAGAGUUCAGUUUAGGGUUUAAAAACCCUAAUGCUGACUAAAGGAAAAAGUUCAGUUUAGGGUUUGAAACCCUAAUGCUGACUAAAGGAAAAGAGUUCAAUUUAGGGUUUAAAACCCUAAUGCUAACUAAAGGAAAAGAGUUCAGUUUAGGGUUUAAAACCCUAAUGCUGACUAAGGGAAAGAGUUCAGUUUAGGGUUUAAAACCCUAAUGUUGUCUAAAGGAAAAGUUCAGUUUAGGGUUUAAAACCCUAAUGUUGACUAAAGGAAAAGUUCAGUUUAGGGUUUAAAACCCUAAUGCUGACUAAAGGAAAGAGUUCAGUUUAGGGUUUAAAACCCUAAUACUGUCUAAAGGAAAAGUUUAGUUUAGGGUUUAACCUAAUGUUGACUAAAGGAAAAGUUCAGUAUAGGGUUUAAAACCCUAAU
rnacentral:lncRNA from 1 species